rnacentral:lncRNA from 1 species
AUGGCAGCGUUUGGAGAGGGCUGUUACGGAGAACGAGAAACGGGCCCUGCGACACUCAGGGCUGGUCUGGCCGCUGCAUUUCAGCCCCGCGGGGCUGCCGGCGCAGAACUCUCUUUAAAAACAAAUAAAUUAAAAUCACGGCCCCCUCCUAAAAAAAUCUGGGUCCCCCGGGCAGGGCAGCUCAGGGGGGCGGAGGCAGCGCCCGCUCUGUUCCGGGCCGGCAGGGCCCGGCCCCCGCCCCCGGCGCGCCAGGAAGUGGCGGCGGGGCCCGGCCCUCAGGAAAUGGCGGCGGCGGCGCCGGCCGCGGGGCGAGGCCGGGCGGGACCCGGACCCCUCACGGCGGCGGGGGCCCGGCGGCAGCGGGCGCGGUGGGCAGAGCCCAGGCCUGCCCCGCUCGGCUCCCGGCCUCCGGGGGCUGCCCCGGCCCUCGGCGAGCCCAGCCGCCGUGACGGGCCCCGGCUCCCGGCCGCCAUUUCCGCGCUGCCCCCGGACCGCGUGCCGCCGGCUGGCGGAGGAGCCUCGGUGCCGUGGCAGCCCGUGGGUUCCUUUGUCCGUGGCUCCGGGACUGGGUGAUGAAGGACACGACACGCUGAAGGAUUAUGAUAUUUCUGUUGCUGCCUUAGCAGUCCUGUACCAUCCCUGGUGAUGACCACUGAGUCACGCUCUGCUAAGCAGGCUGCUCCUGCGACCUCCAGCAGAUUCAUCGAGCUGGCAACAUGAUGACAGAGCUGUUUGGUACCCUUAGAGUCCCACUUGCGCGGUGUCCAAGUAUCUCAUGUUUGACUCAUCAAAUGUGUCCUUGCGGCAUGCCUGUGAGAUGAUG